GCUUGACACUGAACAUUGAGCCUUGAUGUGUAGGAUAGGUGGGAGGCUUUGAAGCGUGGACGCCAGUCUGCGUGGAGCCAUCCUUGAAAUACCACCCUUUAAUGUUUGAUGUUCUAACUCGGCCCCGUGAUCCGGGGUGAGGACAGUGUCUGGUGGGUAGUUUGACUGGGGCGGUCUCCUCCCAAAGAGUAACGGAGGAGCACGAAGGUUAGCUAAUCACGGUCGGACAUCGUGAGGUUAGUGCAAAGGCAUAAGCU
rnacentral:rRNA from 1 species